rnacentral:rRNA from 1 species
GACGAACGCUGGCGGCGUGCUUAACACAUGCAAGUCGAACGGAAAGGCCCUGCUUUUGUGGGGUGCUCGAGUGUCGAACGGGUGAGUAACACGUAGGUAACCUGCCCUUGCCUUUGGGAUAACUUCAUGAAACUAGGGCUGAUACCGGAUAGGAGCUCCUGCUGCAUGGUCUGGCUUGGAAAGUUUCGGCGGUUGGCGAUGGACUGGCGGGUUAUCGGCUUGUUGGUUGGGUAGUGGCUUACCAAGGCUUUGACGGGUAGACGGACUGAGGGGGUGACCGGCAAGGUUGGGAUUGAGACAGGGUCCAGACAGCGAGGGGAGGCAGCAGUGGGGAAUACUGCACAAUGGGCGGACGUCAGAUGAAGCAACGACGCGAGAGGGAUGACGGCCUUCGGGUUGUAAACAGCUUUCGCAUGUGACGAAGCGUGAGUGACGGUAAUGGGUAAAGAAGCACCGGCGAACUACGUG